GUCUACAGCCAUACCACCCUGAACGCGCCCGAUCUCGUCUGAUCUUGGAACCUAAGCAGGGUCGGGCCUGGUUAGUACUUGGAUGGGAGAAAAGGGUGUUGAAGUCU
rnacentral:rRNA from 1 species